UGAAACAAACUAGCUUCACGUACAAACUCACGCUCUCGCUCCACGUCUGGCGGUCUGUAGAAGGACAGGCCGAGAGAAAUGAUGGCUGCCACCUCCAGGAUAAUCAGUGUGACAUCCUGCAGAGCCUCCCAAACCAGCUCCAUGAAGUUCUUUGGCUUUUUAGGAGGAAUAAUAUUCUGACCAAACUCUUGUUUUCUCCUGCUGAUGUCCUCGCCAUUAUCAUCCAAACCUGCAACAAGGACAAUGUUAC